rnacentral:rRNA from 1 species
GACGAACGCUGGCGGCGUGCCUAAUACAUGCAAGUAGAACGCUGAAGGAAGGAGCUUGCUCUUUCUGGAUGAGUUGCGAACGGGUGAGUAACGCGUAGGUAACCUGCCUGGUAGCGGGGGAUAACUAUUGGAAACGAUAGCUAAUACCGCAUAAAAUUGAUUAUUGCAUGAUAGUCAAUUAAAAGGUGCAACUGCACCACUACCAGAUGGACCUGCGUUGUAUUAGCUAGUUGGUGGGGUAACGGCUCACCAAGGCGACGAUACAUAGCCGACCUGAGAGGGUGAUCGGCCACACUGGGACUGAGACACGGCCCAGACUCCUACGGGAGGCAGCAGUAGGGAAUCCUCGGCAAUGGACGGAAGUCUGACCGAGCAACGCCGCGUGAGUGAAGAAGGUUUUCGGAUCGUAAAGCUCUGUUGUAAGAGAAGAACGAGUGUGAGAGUGGAAAGUUCACACUGUGACGGUAUCUUACCAGAAAGGGACGGCUAACUACGUG